GAUGGACGCUGGCGGCGUGCCUAAUACAUGCAAGUCGAGCGAACAGACGAGGAGCUUGCUCCUCUGACGUUAGCGGCGGACGGGUGAGUAACACGUGGAUAACCUACCUAUAAGGCUGGGAUAACUUCGGGAAACCGGAGCUAAUACCGGAUAAUAUAUUGAACCGCAUGGUUCAAUAGUGAAAGACGGUUUUGCUGUCACUUAUAGAUGGAUCCGCGCCGCAUUAGCUAGUUGGUAAGGUAACGGCUUACCAAGGCAACGAUGCGUAGCCGACCUGAGAGGGUGAUCGGCCACACUGGAACUGAGACACGGUCCAGACUCCUACGGGAGGCAGCAGUAGGGAAUCUUCCGCAAUGGGCGAAAGCCUGACGGAGCAACGCCGCGUGAGUGAUGAAGGUCUUCGGAUCGUAAAACUCUGUUAUUAGGGAAGAACAAAUGUGUAAGUAACUAUGCACGUCUUGACGGUACCUAAUCAGAAAGCCACGGCUAACUACGUG
rnacentral:rRNA from 1 species